rnacentral:rRNA from 1 species
GUAAAGCGAGCGCAGGCGGUCUUUUAAGUCUAAUGUGAAAGCUUCGGCUCAACCGAAGAAGUGCAUUGGAAACUGGGAGACUUGAGUGCAGAAGAGGACAGUGGAACUCCAUGUGUAGCGGUGAAAUGCGUAGAUAUAUGGAAGAACACCAGUGGCGAAGGCGGCUGUCUGGUCUGUAACUGACGCUGAGGCUCGAAAGCAUGGGUAGCGAACAGGAUUAGAUACCCUGGUAGUCCAUGCCGUAAACGAUGAUUACUAAGUGUUGGAGGGUUUCCGCCCUUCAGUGCUGCAGCUAACGCAUUAAGUAAUCCGCCUGGGGAGUACGACCGCAAGGUUGAAACUCAAAAGAAUUGACGGGGGCCCGCACAAGCGGUGGAGCAUGUGGUUUAAUUCGAAGCUACGCGAAGAACCUUACCAGGUCUUGACAUCUUCUGCCAACCUAAGAGAUUAGGCGUUCCCUUCGGGGACAGAAUGACAGGUGGUGCAUGGUUGUCGUCAGCUCGUGUCGUGAGAUGUUGGGUUAAGUCCCGCAACGAGCGCAACCCUUAUUACUAGUUGCCAGCAUUCAGUUGGGCACUCUAGUGAGACUGCCGGUGACAAACCGGAGGAAGGUGGGGACGACGUCAAAUCAUCAUGCCCCUUAUGACCUGGGCUACACACGUGCUACAAUGGAUGGUACAACGAGUUGCGAAACCGCGAGGUUUAGCUAAUCUCUUAAAACCAUUCUCAGUUCGGACUGUAGGCUGCAACUCGCCUACACGAAGUCGGAAUCGCUAGUAAUCGCGGAUCAGCAUGCCGCGGUGAAUACGUUCCCGGGCCUUGUACACACCGCCCGUCACACCAUGAGAGUUUGUAACACCCAAAGCCGGUGGGGUAACCUUUUAGGAGCUAGCCGUCUAAGGUGGGACAGAUGA